GGGCACGUGGUGUAAUGGCAACACGCGGGACUCUCAUUAUCUGGCAACCGAGAUGGCGGUUCGAUUCCGUCUGUGUCCG